GAUGAACGCUGGCGGCGUGCCUAAUACAUGCAAGUCGAGCGAACGGACGCGAAGCUUGCUUUUCUGAUGUUAGCGGCGGACGGGUGAGUAACACGUGGAUAACCUCCCUAUAAGACUGGGAUAACUUCGGGAAACCGGAGCUAAUACCGGAUAAUAUUUUGAACCGCUUGGUUCAAAAGUGUAAGACGGUCUUGCUGUCACUUAUAGAUGGAUCCGCGCUGCAUUAGCUAGUUGGUAAGGUAACGGCUUACCAAGGCAACGAUGCAGAGCCGACCUGAGAGGGGGGUCGGCCACACUGGAACGGAGACACGGUCCAGACUCCUACGGGAGGCAGCAGUAGGGAAUCUUACGCAAUGGGCGAAAGCCUGACGGAGCAACGCCGCGUGAGUGAUGAAGGUCUUCGGAUCGUAAAACUCUGUUAUUAGGGAAGAACAUAUGUGUAAGUAACUGUGCACAUCUUGACGGUACCUAAUCAGAAAGCCACGGCUAACUACGUG
rnacentral:rRNA from 1 species